AUCUGGAAGUGCCGAAGCAAACCUGAACAUCUCUGCUGCAUUUGGGCAAUGGAUGGUAUGAGAGAAAGGCCUUCCUACUGGUUGUGCUGAGGUUGUGACAAUUUCUCAUAGUGUAGAUAUUGCCUCUUUUUUGACCUUCAAAAUAUGGCAUCCCUAAAUAUAACCACUCAAACCCUCUGACUCUCAGAGCCAGGAAUCUGGGCUUGGGUUAGAGCAGAAAUCUUUCUAAAUUGUGUGCUGUGGCAUUGGAAACUGCUGAGAGUAAAAUGAGAAAAAGUAGCAAUCUUAUACUACACUUACACUUACAAUAUUGUGCAGUGAUAGAUAAUCUAGUAAAAGAUUCAGGGAGCAAUCUCAACCCUGGCCAGGCGGUAAUGGGACCUAUGGAACUGCUGCCACAUCUACAACCCCAGUGCGGCAAAACGCUGGUGGAGCCCAGCACAACUAUUUCCACUUCGUCCAAACUCCCCCCUCCUGCCUAGUAGAACAGGGAUUUGGAUCACUAUGUUACUAGAACUGAAGACAGUACAAAGGAGGGUGAAAUAUGUUGAGACAUUUGAAAUGUAUGGGUCCCUCAAGAGACUUUUGCAAAUGCAGUGCAUUUUACAAGUUCCAUCAUCUACUGCCCUUUCAUUCCCCAGCCCAAGCUUCCAAGCUGCUCCUUAAGGUUAUUUUUUUGGGGGAAGGGGGGAGAUAGAGACUCUCUAGAAUAGCUUUUGGCCAAAGUGAAAUUUGGGCAAGUCCCUAUAUAAGGAUGGAAGUUAUUGUGUGCAUUAGUUGCUUUAGCUCAUGCAUCCCCAACCUGCAGCUCUCCAGAUGUUCUGGCCUACAACUCCCAUGAUCCCUAGCUAACAGGACCAGUGGUCAGAGAUGAUGGGAAUUGUAAUCUAAAACAUCUGGAGGGCCAAAGCUUGGGGAUGCCUGCUUUAGCUCCUCAAUUUGGACAUGCUGAUAUAAUAACUUGUCACUUGGGCUGCAAUGUUAAAUACAAUUACAAGGAAGAGUAGGCCCAAUGGGACUUACUUCUGACACUGUAUUUAAUCUCCUGUAUUAGUGUUGCAAUAAUAGCAGUAGCUUUCAAAAGAUUAUUCAAAUAAACAUACCGUAAAUACAUAUGCAAUUGUUCACAUUGGGUGUUAUUAACUAAGUUUACUCAAGUAGACUCAUUGUAACUAAUGGACCCAACUUUGGGUCCACUCACUCUUCCAUUUUCCUCUGUGAUUUCAAGUCACAAGCCUGAGAGGUUUUUUAUUUUGUCCUGCCACUUUCCCUGGGAAAACCCACUGUUUACUGCUGAAUCAAACCAAAUGUCAAUCUGCAGAAAACCCAGCUGGCAUUUGUUCUGAUUCAGCAGGGAACAGUGGGUUUUCCCUGGGAAAGUGGACGGACCAAAAAAUGCCCCCUCUCAAACCCAUGAUUUGAAAUCAAGGGACAAAAGGAAAUGUGUAUGUGCCCUUUUGUUGUUUAGUCAUUUAGUCGUGUCGGACACUUCGUGACCCCAUGGACCAGAGCACGCCAGGCACUCCUGUCUUCCACUGCCUCCUGCAGUUUGGUCAAACUCAUGUUGGUAGCUUCGAGAACACUGUCCAACCAUCUUGUCCUCUGUCAUCCCCUUCUCCCUUUCCCCUCCAUCUUUCCCAACAUCAGGGUCUUUUCCAGGGAGUCUUCUCUUCUCAUGAGGUGGCCAAAGUAUUGGAGCCUCAGCUUCAGGAUCUGUCCUUCUAAUGAGCACUCAGGGCUGAUUUCCUUAAGAAUGGAUCGGUUUGAUCUUCUUGCAGUCCAUGGGACUCUCAAGAGUCUCCUCCAGCACCAUAAUUCAAAAGCAUCAAUUCUUCGGCGAUCAGCCUUCUUUAUGGUCCAGCUCUCACUUCCAUACAUCACUACUGGGAAAACCAUAGCUUUAACUAAUUAAUUUCAAUGGAUCUGCUUUCAAUACAAUUUAUUUGAAUCCCAACCAUUCAUAUGUACUUGGGAGAGACAUAAUUCAAAAUGUACAAAAAAAGAGAGGGCUAAAGAUAGCAGAUACUGUUUCGUAGGCUAUUCAUACCUCUGUCAUGUUGGGAGCACAUCUACUACAUGUCCAGAGCCUUGGCAAUGUUCAUAUUAGACACGUACUGUCAAGUGUGGAUGUGUUUACACUUAUUCGUUUCCCACAGCAUUCAGAAGAGGCACAAAUAGAAGCUAAUUAAUUUUGUAAGUCACUGAUGACAGGCAUAACAGUUGAACAAAACAGAGCAACAAGUCAAUUACAUAUUGUCACCUGUAACGGUGUAAAAAUACCUUUUUAAUUCUCCCUUAUCUUUCCAGCGUCAUCUUUUUAUUUACAGUACAAAAGAUUCUAAUUUUAUAUAUUGUACAAGUUGUGAAAAUUGGAUUGGAUUCACUGCUUAUUUUUGUUGAAAGCCUGCACCACUCUGUUGUGACUAUUUGAGGGUAGGGAGACUGUUUACUCUCAAGAUGGAAACAGGUAGCAAGUUUGCAUUCCUUGAGAAUAGCUCCCAUAUUAAGCAUUUUUCCUAACUUUAAAUGGGCAAUCAUUUUAUUUCUUUUACUUAGCUAAAUAUAAAGUACACACACACACAAUUCUGACUUGUAUAACAGCCAGAAAUGCAUUUGUGCAUAUGUGGAUAUGGUAUAUAUUUCUUUGCUCUAUCAAGCUCUAGGGAGUUAGUGACAUUCAAAGGCUAAGUAAGGUAUAAUUAAGUUUGUGAUUAAACUGAGUAUAAUUACGUUAGUUACAGAGUGGGGACAGGAAGGUUAACUUAAGUAAUGGUGCACUAGCCUUUUAACCUUUACCAACACAGUCCUAUAAAUGUCUACUCAGAAGUGAGCCCCAUUGAGUUUAAGGGACUUGCUCUGAGGUAAGAGUGUAUAAGAUUGCAGCCUAGGUCUCCAGUAUAACUAUCCCAUAAACUGUUUGUAAGUCUGAUUCCCUCCCCACACUUUGACUACCGUAUGUUUCCUUAGUAUCUGGUACAUAAAUGGUCAUCUUUCCUGACCAUAUUUGAAACAGUAGUGGGAUGAGGCUGGUAAAAAAUCCACUAUGUUGACAGUAUGAGUAGUAUUUCUAUUCUGUAAAUCAGGGAUGACUAACCUGCAGCCCUCCAGCAGUGGCGGACCUCGGGGGACUCAAAUUUCAGCAGUGAGAGUUGGGUGUGGGUGUGAUCUAACAAAGACAACCUGAGUAUGUGUUUAUAAAUUACUGCAUAAAAGGGUAUGAUAUAAUAAUUGGUGUUUUGCAGCAAGUUGAGGUAAGAAGUGAUGAGGAAAAAUUAGCUGAUGGUUAAUUUUUUGGUCAUUAUUUUUAAGCCAUCACACACAGAGCCUAUUUUUUUGCAUUCCUUUAAAAUAGCCCUCUCCAAAUUGGUGCCCUCCAGAAGGACUCCAGCUCCUAUCCACUUCAGACUGCAUAGUCAGGUGCCAGGUAUGAUGGGAACUGUAGACCAUCUGAAGGGCACCAUGUAUAGCUUCUAGGUGCCUUCCGCCCCUAGUCAGAGUAGAAUAUAAAUUGAAAUGAUGUGAAUAACAAAGUGAGUGUCGCAAAUUCUCCACAGCGCUUUAGCAGAAAUGCUCAGAGUUCCAGGUUCUUCAGUGCAGUGCAGUAUAUUUAUUGUAAGCUAUAUAUACAAAUAUCUACAGGCUGUAAUACACGAGCAGUUCAUACAAUCAAACAGAGUACCUGGCUGUACCUUAAGACAAAUACUAAGACCUCUAACGCUUUCUCUCUGACCACACUCUUCUACACCACACCCUUACUGCUGGACAGGUCUCCCUUUUAAACCGAUGACAGCCAAUCAACUGACAGCACAUUACUGCUGAGUCAUUCUGACCCAGCACUUCCAUAGAAAGUAUUGCAGGCUGAUUGCAUCAGCCAGUUGCAUCAGCUAGCAAACUCAAGCCGACAGACUUACUAUCUCACACAGCAUUCUGUGAAUCCCAACCGUGAGGCCACCAUGUUGAUGCAGGUAUGCCCUUUACAUAUGGACGGCAUACCCACAAACAUUUCUCUGAUCAUUCUAUAACGAUGAUUUUACUAUUUAUACCCCCCCACAUGUUACUGGGUUGCCACAGUCACUCUGGGCAGCUUCAAGCAUAUAUAAAAACAUAAUAAAAUAUUAAACAUUAAAAAAACUUCCCUAUACAGGAUUGCUUUCAGAUGGCUCAGGGGUCGGAUAAAUUAAUACCCUCCAACAUUUCUCCAAUAAAAAUAGGGACAUCCUAAGGAAAAGUGCUGGGACGCGGGUGGCACUGUGGGUUAAACCACAGAGCCUAGCACUUGCUGAUCAGAAGGUUGGUGGUUUGAAUCCCCGCGAUGGGUGAGCUUCCAUUGCUCAGUUCCUGCUCCUGCCAACCUAGCAGUUCGAAAGCACGUCAAAGUGCAAGUAGAUAAAUAGGUACCGCUCCGGCGGGAAGGUAAACGGCGUUUCCGUGCACUGCUCUGGUUCUCCAGAAGCAGCUUAGUCAUGCUGGCCAGAUGACCCAGAAGCUGUACGCCCGCUCCCUGGGCCAAUACAGCGAGAUGAGCACCGCAACCCCAGAGUCGGCCACGGCUGGACCUAAUGGUCAGGGGUCCCUUUAGCUUUAAGGAAAAGUGGGACAUUCAGGAAUCAAAUCAGAAACUGGGAUGGCUUCUCUAAAUCAGAGAUGUCCCUGGGAAAUAGGGACACUUGCAGGCUCUGGGAUGGAGUGUUUGUGGAUUUCCAUGUAGUCAUCUUCUCCUCCUGUUCUCCUUCACAGGACUUUAAACGUCUUCAAUAAGGGUUGAUGUGUUUAGCCCUACUGCUAAUUCUGCUACUUGCAUGAAAACAUAGAAAGAGGUGAGCCAUUUAAAAACAUUCUAUAGAAACAUUUUUAUUGUAAAGGAACAGUACAGCUUUACAACAGUACAACAAUACAGCUAGUUCAAAACCAGCUAAUUUUCCCACAUUGAAAGUUGAACCUAUUCAGUUUUGAUUCAAAUGCACAGUAUUUAAAUUUAUCAAGGGAGAAACCAGCAAAAGAAUAUUGCAGCGUAAUCUCACUUCUUAAUAUGAAUUUUCCUGUUCUGGGUUUCAAGCAGUCAACCCUUUCCUCCUCCAGAAGACCGUUCCAUCCGGACCUCCUUCCUUCUGCUUUUCAUUUCUAACUGACAGCCAACAUUCCAAGGCUACUCAGCAUCCUCAUUGGCUGAAUGUGUGUGAGAAUUGGGUAAGGGAUGUACAGCACCUAAGGAGAAUUAUAUGAAAAUGAUGGUAUUUAACACCGGUUAAACUAUCAAAAAUGUACAAAACAGAAGAUAGUAAGUGUUGGAAGUAUAAAGAGGCAAAAGGUACAUUUUAUCAUAUGUGGUGGCAAUGUAAGGUCAUAAAACGUUUUUGGGAAAUGAUCUAUAAUGAAUUGAAAAAAAUGUUAAAAAUAACCUUUGUUAAAAAACUGCAAGUUUUCUUAAUAAGUAUAACUGGAACGGAUAUACUGAAAGAAUAUAAAAAAUUGUUUAUGUAUUCAACAACAGCCGCACGGACACUGAUAGCCCAACACUGGAAAGAAGAACGAGUCUCAACUAAAGAAGAUUGGCAACUUAAAUUAAUGGAAUAUGCUGAAAUGGCUAAAUUAACUGGAAGACUAAGAAAUCAAGACAACAAAUAUAUAUAUAAAAUGGAAAAUGUUUAUUGCAUAUUUACAAAAGCAUUGUAAUAAAGUUAAUACAACAUCAGGGUUAUAAAAACACUUGUAAUAUUAAGGACAAUGUUUAAAAUUGGAAAUAUUUAAAGAUAAGAAAAUUAUAGACAUGUACAAUAUAAGAAAAUACAAAAGAACUGGGGGGGGGAGGGAAUGGAAGGAAGUCAAGGGAUCUGAGGAAUCCGAAAAUAUGGAUUUAAUAUGGUAUGAAAAUGUUUUAUUUUCUAUUUUCUAUUUUCUAUUUUAAUUGCAUCUGUUUAUUAUGUCAUGUGAAGAUAAUGUUUGAUUGUGAAAAAUAAUAAAAAUAAUAAUAAAAAAGAGAAUUGGGUAACGGAUUGUGUGUUUAGUUUAUUAUUUUUGUACUUUGUCACAACUCUGUGUUCCCCAGAGCAUACAAAUACGUGCCUUCCUCUUGCUUCUCAUGAACCAUUUGGGCUCCAUUUCUGUCAGCUGUCACUCACCUGCGUUUGCUAUUAGAGGGGUUAAUAUUUAUGCCAGUACAUUAAUGCAUGUACACAAUUAAUUUGUUUCUGGUAUAAAAUGCGCGUGAAAUAUAUUAUGAUACAGUUGUAUAUGGGAUGACAAUGGCUUCAACUUUAUAUUAUUUGUUAUUUUGCUUAAAUGAUCCUUUUGAUGAAAUCUUAGGCUGCAUCUCAUAUAAAGCAUUUAAAAUAAAUUGAUAGCUAUUGUGUGUGUGUGUGUGUGUGUGUGUGUGUGUGAAGUAUUGCCCCUCACCAGGAACAUGGCUUACUAUUCCCAAAUAAAUGAUUGUAUAGUGUUUUAAGGCUUUAACAACUGUAGGAUCAGUGGAAGCAUGUUUGUGAGUUUUAACCAUUCUAUGUAAACCAUUCCUUAUCAUCAGAGGGUUAUCUUUUGACAUUGCAGUGAGAUAGAACUAUACAGUAAAUAAUGGAUUGUGAGAUGCAGCCAGGCUUGCAGAAAAUAACUAUUUGAGGGAUGGUGCAUGAACAGAAAGCUGUAAUUUUGACAGGUGGCAAGGUGUCGUGUCACCAAGCCCUCCUAAAGCCUCAUAUCUCAUACCUAUUGAUUAAUGGCUCUAAUUAAGGAAUGAAAUCAAGCAUGUGAAGACAGCGGAUCGCUUUAGGUCCUUGUUUGGUAGUUUUCUCUUCCUGGCAUACAACUCAUCCAUCUAAAUAUCACUGCUCUUUCAUUUAUUACAGCCGGAUGAUACCAAAAAAGGAAGUUGAGG